rnacentral:rRNA from 1 species
GUGCCAGCAGCCGCGGUAAUACGGAGGAUCCAAGCGUUAUCCGGAAUCAUUGGGUUUAAAGGGUCCGUAGGUGGAUAAUUAAGUCAGAGGUGAAAUCCUGCAGCUCAACUGUAGAAUUGCCUUUGAUACUGGUUAUCUUGAGUUAUUAUGAAGUAGUUAGAAUAUGUAGUGUAGCGGUGAAAUGCAUAGAUAUUACAUAGAAUACCAAUUGCGAAGGCAGAUUACUAAUAAUGGACUGACACUGAUGGACGAAAGCGUGGGGAGCGAACAGGAUUAGAUACCCCGGUAGUCC